UACGUAGGGGGCUAGCGUUGUCCGGAAUCAUUGGGCGUAAAGCGCGUGUAGGCGGUCCGGUAAGUCCGCUGUGAAAGUCGGGGGCUCAACCCUCGAAUGCCGGUGGAUACUGUCGGGCUAGAGUGCGGAAGAGGCGAGUGGAAUUCCUGGUGUAGCGGUGAAAUGCGCAGAUAUCAGGAGGAACACCAAUUGCGAAGGCAGCUCGCUGGACGUUACUGACGCUGAGACGCGAAAGCGUGGGGAGCAACCAGG
rnacentral:rRNA from 1 species